rnacentral:lncRNA from 13 species
UCGAUAUCCAGUUCCCGAUAUCUACAUUUACUGAAUUGAUAAACUUUGAGGAACAAUUGAAAGAAACUACUGUCACGAGUGGCGAAAGCCACCGCUGACGAAACAAUUAAUUACAAAAUACAAUUUGUUUAUAUUAUGCCACCGGUAUCGGUAAUGCCGACAUCAUGACACAGUAACCGAUACCAGGAACGCUGAAUAGGCGACCUUCUCGAGUGGACAACAGAUCUGCUAAAUCUGCAAGGCCAGAUCGGCCAGCUCUCCAAUAACUAGAGAGCCAACGACAGACGCGGUAGACUCAGGUUAAAGCACGCGACAGUCUAUUUCGGUACUAUCUUACCUAUCUCAAAUAAAAGGCAGUGUAACAAACUAUAAUAAAGAACUUUAUUAUUAACCGUACAACGAGUGUUUAAUUCAAACGUCUCCGAUCGACGGGCUCCUGCCAAACGAAUCCGAGGAAAUCACGCAUAACACCACAUUUGAGGACAAAGUACUUCGCAUUUUAAAAAGUGUUGGUGGGUUUAAUGCACAUACUAUGGUAAGAAGUAUUUUGAAAAAAGUAACAGUAGAUCCUUUAGCGCAAAAUUUUAACUGGACUGGCAAAAACAAUAAGUGUUGUUUCAAAGAUUUAAGUCUUUCUAAAGUGAUCGUAUGUAAGUUUUUAGUAUACUUUUAAAUUAACUUUGAUUUACUUAUUUCAGAUUUAGUUUAAACAUGCACAUAUACAGA